AGAGUUUACAAGUUAGUUUCGUUUCCAUCGUUGUACUGUUUCGACGUAGUUAAAUUACUUGUGUUCCGUUUUGCGUAUAAUUUAAAAUUACGUAUGAAUUUCGCUAAGAUUUUGUACAGUUUUUGUUCGUGAGUGUUUUAAGUAAGUUUAUUUACGAAAAUAAAUAUAGCGGCAAUCUCACGUGUUUUAUUUCCGAGUGUCGAUAUAAUUUACCAUUAUAUAUCAACGAGAAUUUGUCGCCAUGAUGUUAUUUACGAACGAUGGCGCCACGAACAGUGAAGUAAUUCGGUCGAAAGAUACGAUGGUGGAAAAAGAGGAACUUGUUUGCUAAUGGGAGGAGAAGGGGGAGGGGAAGAGAAGUUGAGGGCCAAAAAUGCACCAAAAAUACAUAAAAGAGGGGAAAGGGAAGGAAUUCGAAAGUAAAUAAAUAAAUAAAUAAAUAAAUAAAUAAUUUUGAUAUAAUUGAAAAAAAGAGAUCCUUCAGAACCCUUAUUCAGAUCACUGAAACUCAUUUUUUUUCAAUUAACUCGAGAAAGAAGAAGAAAAAGAAAAUUACAGAGAAAGGGAGGGAAAAUCAAUUGCUGCGAGGGUGAAUUCGAAAGGAGAAGAAGGGGGAGGGGAAGAGAAGUUGAGGACCAAAAAUGCACUAAAAGAGGAGAAAGGGAAGGAAUUCGAAAGUAAAUAAAUAAAUAAAUAAAUAAAUAAUUUUGAUAUAAUUGGAAACGAAAGAGAUCUUUCAAAAACUUUAUUGAAUCACUGAAACUCGUUUUUCUUCAAUCAACUCGAAGAAGAAGAAGAAAAAGAAGAAGAAGAUUACAAGGAAAGGGAAGGAAGAUCAAUUGUUAUAAGGAUGAGACGAGAAAUGCAGAGAAGGAGGGGAAAAUGAAGGAAGAAAUUCAAAAAUAAAUAAAUAAUUUCGAUAUCAUUGAAAAAAGAAUCCUUCAGAAUCUUUAUUCAGAUCACUGAAAUUCUCACUUUUCUUCAAUCAACUCGAGAAAGAAGAAGAAGAAAAGAUUAAUGAACUAAUUCAUUUUUUGUGGAUUUCAGGGAGGAGGAGGAAGAGGGAAGAUCAGUUGAGGGGCGACCAAAAAAAUGCACCGGAAACGAAGGAAUUCGAAAAUAAAUAAAUAAAUAAAUAAAUAAUUUCGAUAUUAUUGGAAACAAAGGGAGGGGAAGAGGCAGAGAAAAUCAAUCGAGAGACGACAAAAAUGUACCAAAAGCGAAGGAAUUUAAAGAUAAAUAAAUAAAUAAAUAAAUAAUUUUAUUAGAUCAUUGAAAACUCACUUCUCUUCAAUCAAUUCUAGAAAGAAGAAAAAAAAAGAAGAAAAAUAGGAAAGAUCAAUUGCUGCGAGAGUGAAUUCGAAAGAAAAUAAAUAAAUAAAUAAUUUCGAUAUUAUUGAUUCAAAAUUCUUAUUCACUUUUCUUCAAUCAACUCGAGGAAACGAGAAAGAAGAAGAAGAAAAAAUGAAUGAACUAAUUCAUUUUUCGAUUACAGGGAGGGAGAGGGAAGAUCAAUCGAGGGGCGACAAAAAUGCACCGAAACCGAGGGAAUUCAAAAAUAAAUAAAUAAAUAAAUAAUUUUAUUAGAUCACUGAAAUUCGCUUCUCUUCAAUCAAUUCGAGAAAAAAG
rnacentral:lncRNA from 1 species